UACGUAGGGGGCAAGCGUUGUCCGGAUUUAUUGGGCGUAAAGAGCUCGUAGGCGGUUUGGUAAGUCUGGUGUGAAAUCUCCACGCUCAACGUGGAGGGGCCACCCGAUACUGCCAUGACUGGAGUCCGGUAGAGGAGUGUGGAAUUCCCGGUGUAGCGGUGAAAUGCGCAGAUAUCAGGAGGAACACCGGUGGCGAAGGCGGCUUGCUGGGCCAGUUCUGACGCUGAGGAGCGAAAGCGUGGGGAGCGAACAGG
rnacentral:rRNA from 1 species